UACGUAGGGGGCAAGCGUUGUCCGGAUUUAUUGGGCGUAAAGAGCGUGUAGGCGGCUUGGUAGGUCCGCUGUGAAAACUCGAGGCUCAACCUCGAGAUGUCGGCGGAAACCGCUUGGCUAGAGUCCGGAAGAGGAGAGUGGAAUUCCCGGUGUAGCGGUGAAAUGCGCAGAUAUCGGGAAGAACACCUAUGGCGAAGGCAGCUCUCUGGGACGGUACUGACGCUGAGACGCGAAAGCGUGGGGAGCAAACAGG
rnacentral:rRNA from 1 species